GUGGAUUAGAUACCCUAGUAGUCCACGCCCUAAACGAUGCGAACUAGGUGUUGGGGAAGGAGACUUUCUUAGUACCGCAGCUAACGCGUGAAGUUCGCCGCCUGGGGAGUACGGUCGCAAGAUUAAAACUCAAAGGAAUUGACGGGGACCCGCACAAGCGGUGGAUGAUGUGGAUUAAUUCGAUGCAACGCGAAAAACCUUACCUACCCUUGACAUGUCAGGAAUUCUGCUGAGAGGUGGAAGUGCCCGAAAGGGAACCUGAACACAGGUGCUGCACGGCCGUCGUCAACU
rnacentral:rRNA from 1 species